rnacentral:rRNA from 1 species
GAUGAACGCUGGCGGCGUGCUUAACACAUGCAAGUCGAACGGAAAGGCCCAAGCUUGCUUGGGUACUCGAGUGGCGAACGGGUGAGUAACACGUGGGUGAUCUGCCCUGCACUUCGGGAUAAGCCUGGGAAACUGGGUCUAAUACCGGAUAGGACGAUGGUUUGGAUGCCAUUGUGGAAAGUUUUUUCGGUGUGGGAUGAGCUCGCGGCCUAUCAGCUUGUUGGUGGGGUAAUGGCCUACCAAGGCGUCGACGGGUAGCCGGCCUGAGAGGGUGUACGGCCACAUUGGGAAUGAGAUACGGCCCAGACUCCGACGGGAGGCAGCAGUGGGGAAUAUUGCACAAUGGGCGCAAGCCUGAUGCAGCGACGCCGCGUGGGGGAUGGCGGCCUUCGGGUUGUAAACUCCUUUCGCUAGGGACGAAGCGUUUUUGUGACGGUACCUGGAGAAGAAGCACCGGCUAACUACGUG